CAGGUUGCACCUGGAGACACAAUCCGCAGCCCCUGGGUCUGUGCAGUGACCAGCCAGACUCUGAGAACUUUCCCCUCCAGCUCUUGGGAAAAUGAGGCUUUGGCUCCAUUUAGUUUUGAUUGUGGCAGCUUUGGAAGGUGUCUGGUCCCAGGUGCAGCUGGUGGAGUCUGGAGGGGAUGUGAAAAAGCCCGGAGACUCUCUCCGCCUCUCCUGCAAAGCCUCCGGCUUCACCUUCAGCGACUACCAGAUGGAAUGGGUCCGACAGGCUCCAGGGAAGGGACUGGAAUGGGUGGCUCUGGUUAGCAAACCAACUGGAUCCACGCAACAUUAUUCGCCGGCUGUUCAGGGGCGAUUCACCAUUUCCCGGGACAACUCCGUCAACAUGGUGUAUCUGCAAAUGACCAGCCUGAAGCCCGAGGACACCGCCCGGUAUUACUGUGCGAGACACACAGUGAGGGGAAAUGAAUUUAUACUCAUGCAAAAACCUCCCGCUGUAGAUUGAAAACAACAUAUUCAGCCCUGGGGGACGGUUGAGGGCUAUAAACCACAAUUACCUCAACAACAAGAAACGAGACAAAGGAAGAAAUCAAUUGCAUUGAUGUUUUCUUUCUGUCCGUU